rnacentral:rRNA from 1 species
UACGGAGGAUCCGAGCGUUAUCCGGAAUCAUUGGGUUUAAAGGGUCCGUAGGCGGAUAGAUAAGUCAGCGGUGAAAGUUUAUGGCUUAACCAUAAAAUUGCCGUUGAUACUGUUUAUCUUGAAUAAGUGUGAAGUGGUUAGAAUGAGUAGUGUAGCGGUGAAAUGCAUAGAUAUUACUCGGAAUACCAAUUGCGAAGGCAGAUCACUAACACUUUAUUGACGCUGAGGGACGAAAGCGUGGGGAGCAAACAGG